ACGGGGCCCGCACAAGCGGCGAGCAUGCGAUUAAUCGAUGCAACGCGAAGAACCUUACCAAGGCUUGACAUACACCGGUAACGCCCAGAGAUGGGUGCCCCUUUGUGGUCGGUGGACAGGUUGGUGCAUGGUUGUCGUCAGCUCGUGUCGUGAGAUGUUGGGUUAAGUUCCCGCAACGAGCGCAGCCCUCGUCCUAUGUUGCCAGCGGGUCAUGCCGGGGACUCAUGGGAGACUGCCGGGGUCAACUCGGAGGAAGGUGGGAUGACGUCAAAUCAUCAUGCCCCUUAUGUCUUGGGCUUCACGCAUGCUACAAUGGCCGGUACAAAGGGCUGCGAUACCGCGAGGUGGAGCGAAUCCCAGAAAGCCGGUCUCAGUUCGGAUUGGGGUCUGCAACUCGACCCCAUGAAGUCGGAGUCGCUAGUAAUCGCAGAUCAGCAACGCUGCGGUGAAUACGUUCCCGGGCCUU
rnacentral:rRNA from 1 species